GAUGAAGAACGUAGUGAAAUGCGAUAAGUAGUGUGAAUUGCAGAAUUCAGUGAAUCAUCGAAUCUUUGAACGCACAUUGCGCCCCUUGGUAUUCCAUGGGGCAUGCCUGUUCGAGCGUCAUCUACACCCUCAAGCUCUGCUUGGUGUUGGGCCCCGCCGCCCCGGCGGGCCCUAAAGUCAGUGGCGGUGCCGUCCGGCUCCGAGCGUAGUAAUUCUUCUCGCUCUGGAGGUCCGGUCGUGUGCUCGCCAGCAACCCCCAAUUUUUUUCAGGUUGACCUCGGAUCAGGUAGGGAUACCCGCUGAACUUAAGCAUAUCAAUAAGCGGAGGA
rnacentral:misc_RNA from 1 species